AUUGAACGCUGGCGGCAUGCCUUACACAUGCAAGUCGAACGGCAGCACGGGAGCAAUCCUGGUGGCGAGUGGCGAACGGGUGAGUAAUGUAUCGGAACGUACCUUUCAGUGGGGGAUAACGUAGCGAAAGUUACGCUAAUACCGCAUAUUCUGUGAGCAGGAAAGCAGGGGAUCGCAAGACCUUGCGCUGAUUGAGCGGCCGAUAUCAGAUUAGCUAGUUGGUGAGGUAAAGGCUCACCAAGGCGACGAUCUGUAGCGGGUCUGAGAGGAUGAUCCGCCACACUGGAAUUGAGACACGGUCCAGACUCCUACGGGAGGCAGCAGUGGGGAAUUUUGGACAAUGGGCGCAAGCCUGAUCCAGCCAUGCCGCGUGAGUGAAGAAGGCC
rnacentral:rRNA from 1 species